AGCUUGAGGAAAUUCUGGCCAAAGAAAAAAACGAGGAGCUUGAGGUGACGGAUAUGGAUGAUGCCAUGGCUCAAGCUAUUGAUAUUGGUGAAAAUGACGAUGGAGAGGACAGCGAGGCUGAGGGCGAUGAAGAGGCGGAGGAAAAAAUCACACGCAACUGGAGUGUCUUGAAAAGCAGUCCCCAUCUCAACAACCCAAAGGGGAAACCUAAAAAGGAGGAUCCUGCAUCACUGGAGG
rnacentral:misc_RNA from 1 species